rfam:Aureimonas sp. AT20, complete genome.
GCGGGCGUAGCUCAGUGGUAGAGCACAACCUUGCCAAGGUUGGGGUCGUGGGUUCGAAUCCCAUCGCCCGCU